UGUCGGCUCGCGAGAGGGCUCCCGGCGCCGGCGGCCGGCCGCCAAGAGUGGUGUCGGGGCCUCCGGCCCAGCCCGCCGCGAUCGGCUCGAGGCACCGACGCGGCCCCACCCUUGCACUGGCUCCUCAGUAACACCGCAUCCCACCCACCCGUGCACUCUGGACACCCGACAGGGGCUGGAAACCUGGGUCCUGGAACGGGGGUGGGAGGGUCCUCGCCUCCCGGGGCAAGCUCGGAAAAGGAGGCUCAAAGAGCUGACUAGCUACAAAGCUAGUAAGUGAAGUCAUCUGGAUUCCUUCUACAAAGACAAAGCCCAGUUCCCAUUUCUUGGGCUGUUCAUGAGCAG